rnacentral:rRNA from 1 species
CCUACGGGGGCAGCAGUGGGGAAUAUUGGACAAUGGGCGAAAGCCUGAUCCAGCCAUGCCGCGUGUGUGAAGAAGGCCUUUGGGUUGUAAAGCACUUUCAGUGGGGAAGAAAGCCUUGGGGCUAAUACCCUCGAGGAAGGACAUCACCCACAGAAGAAGCACCGGCUAACUCCGUGCCAGCAGCCGCGGUAAUACGGGGGUGCGAGCGUUAAUCGGAAUUACUGGGCGUAAAGCGCGCGUAGGCGGUCUGAUAAGCCGGUUGUGAAAGCCCCGGGCUCAACCUGGGAACGGCAUCCGGAACGGUCAGGCUAGAGUGCAGGAGAGGAAGGUAGAAUUCCCGGUGUAGCGGUGAAAUGCGUAGAGAUCGGGAGGAAUACCAGUGGCGAAGGCGGCCUUCUGGACUGACACUGACGCUGAGGUGCGAAAGCGUGGGUAGCAAACAGGAUUAGAUACCCGGGUAGUC